GCCGGAGUAGCUCAAAUGGAUAGAGCGUCCCCCUCCUAAGGGGAAGGUUGCAGGUUCAAUUCCUGCCUCCGGCG
rnacentral:tRNA from 1 species